UCGAGGAGGCCUAUAUCUGCAGUCAGCGUGCUGUUAGUUUCUCUGUUUAAGUGCAGCAGCCUAAGCUGACGCUGGACAGCACAUGAACUCGCUACAUAUUUGGGAAAGCAGCGGGGGCAGCGCGUUGCGUCAUCACGUUCUUCUGUUGCUCCAGCUGUAGCGCAGCAACAAUUCCUUGGGAUAGCUCAAUGGAGAACCAGAGUCCUUCAGCCAAGGCCGUUAUCUUUUAUCUCACGACAAGGUCUUUCUCUGCACGUCUACGGUCUCUAUGUCACAGACUCCACCUGGUGGUGCAGGACUCCUCGUCGUCUUGUUAAAUGAUUAAAAGAACACGACCGCCACAGCGUGGAAACACGAGUCAACAUGCAGAAUUGAUGGAGAAAUGUCAGAAUGAAAAAUGAAAAACUGAAGAUCUGCUCAGAAAAUGGGACAUACUUUCUAAAACAAGCGAGCAUGGAUUCCCACUGUAAACGCAGACCACUGAGGACACAUGUCUUCCUUGCUUCCAUCAACCCCACCUCGCAUAUAUACGCCUAUAGACGCACAUCCCUUCAUCCCAAUAAACAGUAUGCCUAUUUAACCUCAAGGGUAGCCAUCCGCAUCAUGUUAUUGGACCAGUUGGACCAUUCUGUCUGAUUUCCUACUUUCUGCAGUAAAUAUUAAGGGACCGUAAGGGACAGUUGACUCAAAAGCCUUUUCAUGGACAGAUGUGGGCUAUUCCUUAUUAUUUCUGCAUCAAUUAAGCAAGUAAAAGAUCUGGAGAAAAAAAACAAUGUAUGUGUAUGUGUAUGAUCGGAAGGUUCACGAACACGGUAAAGAAAAACCCUUUCAUCCAGACAUCCAGCCAAGUGAAGAACCCUCUCCAGGAGGUAGACGUGUCACUGUCAAAGUCUACAAUCAAGAGAAAACGUCACCAGAGCAAAUACAGAGGGUUCACCACAAGUUGCAGGGCCUUGAUUAGACUUAGUCAAAAACAGCCAGAUGACAAUGAUAGAAAGAAAAAAGUAUGGAGAAUUAUGGAAAAGGUCUCAUGAACAGCUCAUGAUCCAAAUCAUACAACAUCAUCUGUAAAACAUUGGGUAGUGAAAUAUGCAUAGCUUCUAGUGACACUGGGUUACUGCUGUUUAAUUAAUAAUGUGACAUAGAGACAUAAGAUGUAAACAGCUUGAAUUCUGAAGUGUACGGUCAUAUUCUCUAUGAACAGAUUCAAACUAUUAUUUAUAAUUACAUUUAUUUGACCACUUUUGAACAGUUCUGAUUCCUAAGCAUAUUAUUUUAUAUUUCAGCCCCUUGAUUUAAAGCCUAAAGUCUGCGUUUCAGUCACAUAUUGUUUGAUUUAUUUCAAAUCUAUUGUAAUGGUGUAUUAAGGCAAUAGUACAAAAACUCAGUCAGUGUUUCCGGAUCCGACGGUAUAUGCAUUUCUUUGUUUUGUCUAAUAUAACCUUUCAUUCAUUGCCUUU